GCGGGAGUAGUACAGUGGCAGUACUUUAGCUUCCCAAGCUAAGAGCGCGGGUUCGAUUCCCGUCUCCCGCU
rfam:Parcubacteria group bacterium RIFCSPLOWO2_01_FTLL_48_18 rifcsplowo2_01_scaffold_623, whole genome shotgun sequence.